AGGUGUUUGGCUUCAAUCAGUAUACACUAUACCACACAACAUGUAAAAAUUGCCAAGUGUUUAAUACAGUUUUGUUGUCAAUAAAUGUUUUUGGCUGCCUGCCUGCCCACCUACUUGCCAGAAACGCUACAGGAUCCGUCAUUGAUAACGAUCAUUUUUGGACUUAAAAAAUCUGUUGCUGUUAUUAUGACCUAAAUCCUUUCAUUCUGCAGUGAAUACCAUGUUUUUGAAGUUUUAUCUUUCAGCAUGAACUAUAGAUAAGAAGAAUGGGAGAGGCCAGCAAAAUAAAGAGGCUUAAUUUCAAUGGAUUCCACUCUCUUUCUCGCAGUAUAUCCAUGUCAGCCAUGGUGCCAGAAACUAAAGUAUCUUUCAGGUUGCUUUGCUUCUCUGCUGGACUUGAAGCAAAUAAUUGACACCAUCUCCAUUGGGACUCCAACUGAUCCAUCAUCAAAUCUUCCCUUUUCUUCCUGAGAGAACUCAGGCAGACAGACUUGCAUAGGAAUUCUGGCCUCAUCUCACCCUGUGACCAUGUGCAUGAUAGUUAACCUCUCAGGCUGCAUUUAUACAUCUGUGAAAUGGGGAUGAUAAGAUUCAUCAAUCAAGGAUCUGUAGAAGAAAUGCAACAAGAUGCAGAGCUGCCUAGCUAUUUACAACAUAGUAAAUAGUAAAUGUGAGCUGUUACCCCAUCUGAGGGACACAAAGAAUCCAGUUAAAAUUUGACUGCAUGAGCUCAGAGUGCAUAUUCAGCUUGGUGUUAUACAUCUUAAAAAAAAAAUCAGAAUGUUUGUCUCUAUUACAGAAAUCCUGAGAUUAAAAAAAAUACCAAUUUGUUCCAAGUUUUUCCUUUCCCAGGGGUUUUAACAGACUCACAGGUCCUAUUUUGAUAACCUACUACAUUUGUCUAGGCAUUCACUUUAAAAAGUAACAAAUAUAAUAGUUACUUUAGCCUCAGCUUUGUAGAUGUUUUACAUGGGUAUUAUUUUUCAGACAAUGAAUGAUAUCUGAUUAUUCUGGGAAAAUCAGAUUUGACUUGAGGUUUCCUCCUUGGCUUUUAUUUACAAAUCAAAACAAUGUACUGAAAAGCACGUUGAAAAGAAUUUUUCAAGCACAUUGUUGUGUUUCCAGAGGAAGAAGCUACAACCUCAAGUGAACUUCCUUGUUCUUAAUACAUAUUUUAGUUUUUUAAAAGUUUUUCUCUCCUACAAGUAGAUUUGCCUUUAUACUUUAACAUUCUUAUUGUUAAAAUUCAUUAGACAUGGAUUACAGCAGAAAACACUAUUCAACUAUUGUAACUAUGAAUCCUGUGAGUUUUCUGUCUACUGUAUCUCCUACUGUAUCUCCUAAACAGCAUGGAAGGGAAAUAGUCACAUGAUUAUUAGCACUCUAGAGUUUAUGGGGGUCAGUCACUCUUAGAAGACAGUAAAAGGGAGGAAGCAAAAUAUAUGACUGUCAACUAUGAUGUUUCUGGCUGAUGAAUAUAAAUAUUCUGGUUUUCUUGCAGACUGUAAGUUUCCUAUCUUAAAUUUCAAUGCAGAAAAACAUUGAA